UACGAAGGGGGCUAGCGUUGCUCGGAAUUACUGGGCGUAAAGGGCGCGUAGGCGGAUAGUUUAGUCAGAGGUGAAAGCCCAGGGCUCAACCUUGGAACUGCCUUUGAUACUGGCUAUCUUGAGUUCGGGAGAGGUGAGUGGAAUGCCGAGUGUAGAGGUGAAAUUCGUAGAUAUGACAUAGAACACCAAUUGCGAAGGCAGCUCACUACGGAUAUAUUGACACUGAGGCACGAAAGCGUGGGGAUCAAACAGG
rnacentral:rRNA from 1 species